CAAGUAUCAGUGAUUUGAUUUUCUUAACAUCAUGCAUGUUGUUGAAGGAAAAAAGAAACAUUUGAACUACAAUUUUCCAGAGAAGACUUCAUAAAUUAGUCUAUUUCCAUAACCCAAAACAUCAGAAAUUACAUUGAUUCUAGUAAAGUUACAAGAGAGCAGUCCUUAAACCGGUUCAAACUAUUCGAUUAGCUCGCAAUUUUGAACAAGCACUUCCUCAUUUUUGUCAAAUAAAGUAAAAGAACAAAAUAUAGGACCAAAGAUCCUUGGGACUGGUAUUGUGCGGAAUGACAGGCCCCUUUAGAUAUCUUGAAUCUAAAGGACCACUCAAGUUGCGGAUAAAUCAUACAAACAAACAGUAAGCAUAGAAAACUCAAAGAUAACACAAAUUCUCA
rnacentral:lncRNA from 1 species